GUCUUUUCCCAAUUCUUGAAGCUGUGAAGGUUUUGGGUAAGAUGGAGGUUCUAUUGAGUUUCUGGACAGUGGAGUGUAGCACUGUUGAGCUAUUGGAUUUGCUGCCUUCCCUCAAGGACCUUGAUAUGGGAUGAUUAUCACGACGUGGGAUUUAUUCUGGACACGAUCUACGUAUCAAGG